GACGAACGCUGGCGGCGUGCUUAACACAUGCAAGUCGAACGGAAAGGCCUCUUUCGGGGGGUACUCGAGUGGCGAACGGGUGAGUAACACGUGAGUAACCUGCCCUUGACUUUGGGAUAACUUCAGGAAACUGGGGCUAAUACCGGAUAGGAGCUCCUGCUGCAUGGUGGGGGUUGGAAAGUUUCGGCGGUUGGGGAUGGACUCGCGGCUUAUCAGCUUGUUGGUGGGGUAGUGGCUUACCAAGGCUUUGACGGGUAGCCGGCCUGAGAGGGUGACCGGCCACAUUGGGACUGAGAGACGGCCCAGACUCCUACGGGAGGCAGCAGUGGGGAAUAUUGCACAAUGGGUGGAAGCCUGAUGUAGCAACGCCGUGUGCGGGAUGACGGCCUUCGGGUUGUAAACCGCUUUCGCUCAUGACGAAGCUUUGUGUGACGGUAGUGGGUAAAGAAGCACCGGCUAACUACGUG
rnacentral:rRNA from 1 species